GAAAAGUUCAGUUUUAUCCUCUAUGUAAAUAUCUAAUUUUCCCAACAUCCUCUUUUGAAGAGAUUGUGUUUUUCUCAUUGUGUACUGUUGGGUCAAAAAUCAAUUGGCCAUAAGCAUAUGGGUUCAUUUUUGAGCUCUCUCGUCUGUUCCAUUGGUCAAUGUGUUUAUUUGCAUGAAGUAUCCUUCUUAAUCGCUUUACCUGCAGUCAGCAUAUGUCCUUGAAGAUGAGGUGUGUCAGAGAAAAAAAUGAGAGACAGACAAGAUCUCACAAGUAUCCUCCGAGUGGGUAUAAAAUGUCCGCUAGGGGGCGAUUCUUCUUGGACACUCUAUUGGCAAGACUAAAUUCUGGGAUCUGCAAUGGCUGCCAUUCCUCGAGUCACAUGCUGUUUAGCUGCCACUGUUGGACUUGACUCUCUGUCCUUGGAUGGACUUUGAAAAUCCCUGGGAAGCUCUUGGAGUCAGAUGAUCAGGCCUCCAUCCCUCUGCCAAAAAGUCUGUUCAACAAAGAUCUCUUCGAGACUGUCCAACAAAUAGUCAAAGGAUGUGAAGCAUGCCAGAAAAACAAUCCUUUGGCACAUUGCAAAGCUCCUCCUGGGGAAAAGCAAGCCUGUCCUUACCCAGAGGAGGACUGGAAAAUGGACUUUUCUCAUAUGUGUAAGUAUCGGGGAUAUCAAUAUCUGCUAGAAUGCGUAGAUACUUACACAAACUGGGUUGAGGCUCUCCCCUGCACAACAGAGAAAGCCGAAGAGGCAAUGGAAGUCCUGAUUAAUGAAAUAAUCCCUAGAGUUCUAUUUUAUUUUAUUUUUAAUUCUUGCAACCUCUGUGCCUCCAAUUUUACUUUUUUAUAAAAUCAGGUUUUAAUGCUUUUCUGACAAAAGUCAAAGGAGUAAUGUGAAAGCAACAUACAUUUUAUUAUUUUAAUGCAUAUAUAAACAUAGUACCAGUUCUCCUGAGUUAACUUUUUUUUUUUUAAUCUUCAAGCAAUGGUGUUUCUAGAAUUUUUUUUAUAGAAGGAGCAAUGAAUAAGCAUUCGGUUUGGACAAGGAUUUGGAGAACUUGUCAUGUGGCUCUAUGUGCAUAUGAAAUACAUCAUCGUAACUCAGAAUGUGAAUUAUAGAACAAACUUGAAACUUAGCAAAAUAUUCUAACAUAUUUUUAUGAUCUCUACUUGCAAUAGGAAACUGUUAGGUUUUCCUAUCAAAGAAUAAGUGCACCGAAACCAAAACAUUCUGCGUGGACAAAAGGGGAUUUGUGGGGCAAGGCUAAAGCCCCCCAAACUUUCCUUAGGAUGAACACAAACCCAAUAUUUUUCUGUUGCUACUGUUCUGUGUUGCAAGGCUCUACUUAAGCAAAAUUUUGAAAAGCAUUGCUACAGUUUGGCUCCUCAUUUCUUACUCACUUUGGAAUAAUGAGGCCCUUUCCAGAUAAAGCAUCUUAAUUAAACAGAUGACAUUUAAACUAGACCUUGAAGAUCAGGUCAGAGUUAUCUUGGGAAAGAGGUAGGAGAGCAAUGCCCAGAAAAUAACAUUCAAAAACAUAAAUGUCUCUGACAACGUGACAAAGGUAGAGAUCAAGGGUAAAUUUUAGUGUGGCAUGGAUUAAUUCACUAACUCAAUAUAUAUAUAUUUAUGUAAAUAGCAUGGAUAAAUACUAGAAAUAAAACAAUGGACUAGACAUGGGCUUGACCUCAUGAUGUUUAGCAAAUAUUGUGUUCCCUAAGGCAGCAGUUCCCAACCUUUUUGGUACUAGGAACUGUUACAUGGGAGACUAUUUUUUUUUUUGGACUGAGAUGGGGGGACUGUUUUUGGGAUAAUUUAAGCAUAUUACAUUUAUGGUGCACUUAUUUCUAUUAUUACUACAUUAUAAUACAUAAUGAAAUAAGUAUACAACUCACCAUAAUGCAGAAUCACUGGAAGCCCUGAGCUUGUUUCCCUGCAAUGAUUCCCUCUGGGGCUGAUGAGAAGCAGUGACAGAUCAUCAGGCAUUAGAUUCUCACGAGGAGCGUGCAACCUAGAUCCCUCGCAUGCACAGUCUACAAUAGGAUUCAUACUCCUAUGAGAAUCUAGUGUCACGGCUGGCUGAUCUAACAGAAGGUAGAGCUCGGGUGAUAAUGGGAGUGAGAGGGAACAACCAGAAAUACAGAUGAAACUUCACUGGCUCACCCGCCACUCACUUCCUGCUCUGUGGCCUGGUUCCUAAAAGGCCAUGCAUAGGUACCAAUCUGUGGACCAGGGGAUUGGAGACCCCUGCCCUAUAGCACACUCACAGUCAACACUGAGAAACAGAUUAAUUCAUUAAUGCAGACUCGACAGUGCCAAACAAAAGAUGUGAGGUAACUAAUAAGAACACUUGUAUUUCACUAAUUACAUGUCAGGCACUACUCUAAUAACUUAAACUUUAUUCACUCACCUAUUAUUAGAACAACAUUAUGGUAUAGGAAUAUACUUGAUGUAUCCAUUUAAUUGAUGAGGGGAUUCAGACAUAGAGUAGUUAUUUAAGUUGGCUGAGGUCUUCAGUUAGUAAGAGGAGGAACUGGGACUUGAGCACUGGUAGGGUGGCUUCAGAGUUGUAGUCUUACUGUUUGUAAUCACAAAAAUAAAGCUACAGUUGUGUUUCAUUUUACAAAACGAAGUCCUGAGGCUUAAAAAUGCCACGAAAUUGAUGUAAAGACACUGCAGCAUGUAUCACAGUUCAAACUAGACUCCAGGAGGCUGCAAACUCAGUGCUCCUUCUGGUUCACAUGGACAACACAUCAGUACUGUGAGACACAAAAAGGUAUCAGUGGGACGCUUGAUUACGAGAAGUAUGUUUGCAAUGAAAGAGGCAAUCCUGCUGCUUUUCUUUGUAUUGGUCAGACCAGAAUGGGGGACCUCAAUCAACUGAAGUUCAACAGGUUAAAAGGUAGACAGAGUAUCUUACUGCUCUGAGUAAGUUUAAAAUUGGGCCAAAAUGGCCUUGAUUGAUAAGGGUGGCUGAUACACUUUUAGUGUUUUGACUGGGCAUGAUUCACAAAAUUGUAUAGUCCCAGGCUAUUUUACCAUUAACUACCUCAUGGGGACUGGCUUUAACUUCUCCAGUCCCCAUGAUCCAUAGGGAAAUACAUGCAAGAAUAAAAAACAUUAAUGAAUUCAGGAUUCAUUUCUAACUAAACAUCAGCCUGGGGUGAUGUCACACACACAUACAUACACAAAAAUGGAACAAGUCAGCCCCAUUUCCAGCAUCGCCUCAUUUGAGCUUGGCACACAAGGACAAUUGAUGCUGACUCAGAGUUAUUUCAAGAUGGAAAAAGCGUCCUGAAUUAUCACACCUCACGUAAUCCGGGCCGCCCUGUAUUCCCUCUCCUUCCUGUCCUAUAGGUGGGUACAUCCCUCCCAGAUAACAAGAUUUGACUCAUUUUAGGCCCUUUUCCUUCUGCACAAGAUCCUGAAAUUUUCCCAAACCCGUGUGUUUGACGGUGUAGAGGAAACAGUUCUCAAAAAUAAACUAGUUUAUCAUUAGAUGGAAGCAAGAAAUCACCUUUAUUAAUGAGAAAGCAGAGUUUGGAGGAUAUAGGGCAUUUCUCACGCAGAUAUACCUUCUGCUAUUGGCUCCUGCCUUUAAAUUAGAAAGCCUUACUCUUCCAUCUGCAGCGAUUGCUAUCCCUCUCCAAGCCUUUGCUCCCAGGAAAAGUAAACUGCAUUAUAUGACAAAAAGCAACAAAGGCUUUAGACUCUCUCAAAAGAAAAGUAAAUUGUGUCAAGAACGUAGUUUAUCACUUCCCAAUUGACUCUAAGAUUAGUCAGUAACUUUUCCAUGCUGUAAUGAGUAAUGAGACAGAGAGAAGCGGAGUGUUUCACUGACUGAUCUCAAUCCACAAGAAAGGAGAAGUAUUUCCCGCCAUCCUCCCUCCACAUUGUGUUCUUUUAGCACUGUGCUUUUCUUGCCUGGGGGAGAAGAACACAAGUUUAACAAGCCAGUUCUUCCCAUUCCCAGACAUGGCCCCACAUCCAAUGCGAGCACUGCUUUUUGGAAUGAAUACCCUUUAGAAGUAUCAGUGAUCCAAGCUGACCUUCCCCAAUCCCUACAGACUCUAAAAUGGGUCAGAAAAGCAUAUUGGUUAAAACAACUCUACAGCUGAAAUUUAAUGUUUGCUUGAUUGUCCAGCUCACAUGUUUUCCUUAAUAACAUUGCCCAAAUAGCCUAUUAGGAGAUCAGUUUUGAACUUGAG
ensembl:lncRNA